rnacentral:lncRNA from 1 species
GAUUCACGUCAAGUCUAUGCAUAUGAGCUUUUACCGAGCAAUGGAUGCAGUAAUGGGAGCUAAAGAAUAAGGAACAAAUCUUAGAGUUGAAACUCAUUCAAGGAAUUGUUCAUCUAAUAUCAGGUGGGUUCCCUUAGAGCCUUAAACUCUAGAUAGUUUAAUACCAUAGUUUCCCCAAGUCAAAAAUAUGGAUGACAACAUUAGUUUAGAAAGUAAGUUAAUAUUCCCCAAAAUUAUGAUGCAUGAUAACAUUAAGGAUUUUAGGACUAUAAUGUGUGUGAGGUGGAUUAAAUCCCCAAGUUCACCUCUACUAUAAAUGAUGGAUAUUGGUUAAUGACUAUGACUGGAUGAAUAUGGUUUGUAGGUGGCAAUUUAAUGAAUUUAUAUAGAAAAUGCAAAACAGAAUACUGAACUGGUGUAUUCGCUAAGCAAGAAUUAACUUCGCUAGGCGAGCAUAGCAGGAUAGUACACUUCAUAUUUACUACUUUUCAAACUUAGCCACUCAUUUUAAACCCUUAUCCAUUCCGAAACUUUUCCAUAGACAAUAUACUGAUAUACUAUGUUUAUAGCGUCAAACACACUUCAGGAAAUUAUGUAUCAGGAACCAGGACAGUUUAGAAAUACCUUGGAAGGGAAUUCAUGGGCAGGAUAACAAUCNNNNNNNNNNNNNNNNNNNNNNNNNNNNNNNNNNNNNNNNNNNNNNNNNNNNNNNNNNNNNNNNNNNNNGUUAUGAAUUACGUUAUGAAAUUAUGUUAUGGACUGACUAUCAGAAUUAGAGAACUAUAUUAGUUCAUCAGUUGCCCUCGGUGUAAACACCAAUAGUAACUGGGUAGUAGGAAUCCACUGAGACGAAGUGAUUGUCUCAUCCCCCACUUAUUUGAUUUCAGAUAACCAUGUUGAUCGCGAUGUCGUGGUCAGCAAGCAUGAAGACCCAGAUACGUGGAGUACGAUUUGGAGCCGAUGUUAUAUUUAUCUUAUAUCUUGUAUAAGAUUCAGAUUAAUUAUGUUUAGUUGUUGGCUCAAAUUUGUAUUCACUUCUUGGAUUUUGUAAUCGUAUUCAUGUGUUUGAUCUUUAUGUAAUGAAAAUUUAAUGUUUUCCGAUUCAGUUAUGUACACUAUUGUCGAUAUUCUAGAUAAAUUGACAUGGGGUGUUAUAAUUGGUAUCAGAGCAGGUCGAUUCAAUAUCGGACCUUGCCGCGGAUCAUUAAAAUUCAAUCCAAAGUAGUAUGGACCCUUUGAAGUCUGAACUGUUUACGCUGAAAUCAUUACGUGCUGAGCCCGAUCAACUCAGUAUCGUGUAUGGUAGGCAGGGUAUUACGGUUGAGAACCGAAGCGGGCCAAGGAGGUCUCGUAGCAAGAACAUGGUAGAAGCGCAAACUCAUAAGGAAGUAAGAGCAAAGAUCUCUAGAAGCAGAUGUUGGAGUUGCAGCGGUCGAUGCUAUAGGAGUAAGUAACACCAAUAAGUGGUGUGUAGAAUUUGGAAUAGUAUGUAGCGUAAUAUCAGUGGUACGGGCAUGUCAGGAGAUGCACGAAUCAGACGCGCUCAACUGACGGUAGUAUUCUGGGAAUGAAAAACCCAAUAUAAAAGUAAGCUUUGACCGGAGUGGAAUCCAGACUGAGUAUUGAAGUACGAUAACCAGAUAAUUGUAGUAGGUUUAAUGAGUGCAUUAAUGCAGAUGAUGGAAUUAUGAGAACGGAGCCCAAUGUAGAAUGAAGUGUGGUACACUAGUAAUAUCUAACCGGCAUGUAUGUGUUGUUUGGACCUAGAAGUAAUCACUCACUCUUGUGAACCUAAUUACCAGAAGUCGGUGAACCAAAAAUCUCUUUCAAAUCCGUCUAACCGUCAUUUCAGCCCAUUAGUUUUGCCAGUGACGCGGGUCAAUUAACUACACUAUCGGAGAAAUAAAAACUAGAUUUCAUGCAUUCCUUUAAUUCCUAAUGUCAGCCUGUUGUACCAUUCUCGUAGAAUGAAAACACUAAGCGUCCCCAGCAAGAUAAAUUCAGCCGCUCAAUCUGUAACCAGUACUCAAGUCAGACCAAUAGCAGCCAAGUUUCGUUUAGAGUAACGAUUGGAUUUUUAAUCNNNNNNNNNNNNNNNNAGUUCAGUACUAACUUCAGCAAGUCGCCAAAUUAUAUUCAAACCUCUCAUCUAAUAACCCAACAAACUCGGUUAAGCCUUUUGUGAGAAAAUAUCAGCGAAUUGGAUUCACGUUUGAAGUGUUGUCCUUAUAAAUGUCUUCAGCUCUAAAAAUUUGUUAACAGUAAUCUGUUUGGACAGAGGUACGUUUGAAUUACUUGUUAAGAGUAAUAAGUCAUGUUUUUUUUAAGGACUGUCAGUUAUUCAUGUUGACCUUCAGAGCAGUAACAUUAUGUUUACCACCAAGAGAUUCUUCAAUCUUCUAGUUUCAUUACUGAUGACCGGUUCAUAAUCACAUAAGUCUAAUUAUGCAAGGUCAUGAGUAAUUUCAGUUCAAGUUCUCACGUGUCUUGUCAAUUUGUUAAACAACAUCGUCAGGUACCCUCGAACGUUGGAAACGUUAAUGGAAUCAAUUCAAUUCACCUUUCUUUAUG